rnacentral:rRNA from 1 species
AAAAUUAAUUUGUUUGUGCCUGAGUAGUAUUAGUUAUGUUCUUGAAACUUAAAGAAUUUGGCGGUAUCUCAUUCCGUUCAGAGGAAUCUGUCUCUUUAUCGAUAGUCCACGUUGGACCUUACUUGGUUGCUUUGGUUUGUAUACCGCCGUUUAUUUGAUUAUCUUUUUAGAGUUUAUUUAAUUUUCUAGUUUCCUUAUUUUGGUUUAUUUCAGGUCAAGGUGCAGCUUGUUUCCAAGUGAAUGAUGGAUUACAUUGUUAUUUUUUUUUGGAUUGCUUGCUUGAAUGUGGGCAUGAAAUUGGAUUUGGUUGUAAUGGUUUGUAGAUUGUUACUAUGAUAAUUGGUUCUGGGAUAUGCACACAUCGCCCGUCGCUCUCGUUGCUGCUAAAUGAGAUAAGUCGUAUAAUAGUAA